rnacentral:lncRNA from 1 species
AAUGGUAAUUUAAAAAUUAAAUUAGAGUUUAUACAUAUUUGAUAAAUUCCUAGGGUAUGUACUUUCCCUGGUUUUAUUUUCAUUAAUGAUAAGGUCAGCUUUCAGCUUGGCAGCUUGGCAGUUUUGUUUUAAUUAAGAGAUUAAGGGAUAGGUAUUAGAUCAUAGAUAGGAAACAGCAGGAUGACAGCAUGGAUGUUAUCAGAGAAACAUCUGUAUAUAAUUUUGAUAGGAUGGUCAGUUAUUGUUUGAGCAUUGCACUGUCAGCAGUCAUAUUUGUACUUGUGGAAAAUUAAUUCAGCCCAUCCACCGUUUCCCCAGCUGCACCUUAAAAAAUUAAAUAGUCAUAGUUUAGUGUCAAAUAUUUUUUAUAUGUUUAUUUAAAAGGGGCUACUCAUAACAAUAUGUGUUUUGUUUGUUUUAGUUUUAUGUUUUUCAUUCAAUUUGGCCUACUUAAUUUCAGGGAAAUUAUUUUCC